GACAGAGGAGGCGAGCGUUAUCCGGAGUUAUUGGGCGUAAAGGGUACGUAGGCGGCUGGUCGAGUCUGGGGUUAAAGACCACAGCUUAACUGUGGGGGGGCCUUGGAAACUGACCGGCUAGAGUGGGGCAGGGGUUGCGGGAAUUCCCGGUGUAGCGGUGAAAUGCGUAGAUAUCGGGAAGAACACCUGAGGCGAAAGCGCGCAACUGGGCCCUCACUGACGCUGAGGUACGAAAGCUAGGGGAGCGAAUGGG
rnacentral:rRNA from 1 species